CUUGCAGGUGUCCACCGGGAGGUGGGUGAAAAGGGAAUCCGGUCAGAAUCCGGAACGAUGCCGUCACUGUGUUAAGCCGUAUUUGUUCAGAUCCAAUGGGAAACCGUGAAGGGAACAAAUGCCAUGGCCCAAGUCAGGAGACCUGCCGCGGGGUU
rnacentral:ncRNA from 1 species